AUUGAACGCUGGCGGCAUGCCUUACACAUGCAGGUCGAACGGCAGCACGGGUGCUUGCCCCUGGUGGCGAGUGGCGAACGGGUGAGUAAUACAUCGGAACAUGUCCUGUAGUGGGGGAUAGCCCGGCGAAAGCCGGAUUAAUACCGCAUACGAUCUACGGAUGAAAGCGGGGGACCUUCGGGCCUCGCGCUAUAGGGUUGGCCGAUGGCUGAUUAGCUAGUUGGUGGGGUAAAGGCCUACCAAGGCGACGAUCAGUAGCUGGUCUGAGAGGACGACCAGCCACACUGGGACUGAGACACGGCCCAGACUCCUACGGGAGGCAGCAGUGGGGAAUUUUGGACAAUGGGCGAAAGCCUGAUCCAGCAAUGCCGCGUGUGUGAAGAAGGCCUUCGGGUUGUAAAGCACUUUUGUCCGGAAAGAAAUCCUUGGCCCUAAUACGGUCGGGGGAUGACGGUACCGGAAGAAUAAGCACCGGCUAACUACGUG
rnacentral:rRNA from 1 species